GACGAACGCUGGCGGCGUGCUUAACACAUGCAAGUCGAACGAUGAAGCCGGAGCUUGCUCUGGUGGAUUAGUGGCGAACGGGUGAGUAACACGUGAGUAACCUGCCCUUGACUCUGGGAUAAGCGUUGGAAACGACGUCUAAUACCGGAUACGAGCUAGGACCGCAUGGUCACUAGCUGGAAAGAAUUUCGGUCAAGGAUGGACUCGCGGCCUAUCAGCUAGUUGGUGAGGUAACGGCUCACCAAGGCGACGACGGGUAGCCGGCCUGAGAGGGUGACCGGCCACACUGGGACUGAGACACGGCCCAGACUCCUACGGGAGGCAGCAGUGGGGAAUAUUGCACAAUGGGCGAAAGCCUGAUGCAGCAACGCCACGUGAGGGACGACGGCCUUCGGGUUGUAAACCUCUUUUAGCAGGGAAGAAGCGAAAGUGACGGUACCUGCAGAAAAAGCACCGGCUAACUACGUGCCAGCCGCCGCAGUAAGAC
rnacentral:rRNA from 1 species